rnacentral:rRNA from 1 species
AAGACCUUGCGCUUUUAGAGCGGCCGAUGUCUGAUUAGCUUGUUGGUGAGGUAAAAGCUUACCAAGGCUUCGAUCAGUAGCUGGUCUGAGAGGACGACCAGCCACACUGGGACUAAGACACGGCCCAGACUCCUACGGGAGGCAGCAGUGGGGAAUUUUGGACAAUGGGGGCAACCCUGAUCCAGCCAUGCCGCGUGAGUGAAGAAGGCCUUCGGGUUGUAAAGCUCUUUCAGCCGGAACGAAACGGUUACGGUUAAUACCUGUGACUACUGACGGUACCGGAAGAAGAAGCACCGGCUAACUACGUGCCAGCAGCCGCGGUAAUACGUAGGGUGCGAGCGUUAAUCGGAAUUACUGGGCGUAAAGCGUGCGCAGGCAGUUUUGUAAGUCAGAUGUGAAAUCCCCGGGCUUAACCUGGGAACU